rnacentral:lncRNA from 10 species
GACAGAUUUCCUGAGUGGUAAGGUUCUUUUCCUCCGCAGGGAUUGCUCCAGGACAGUUACUUGUAAAGCCUUCUAUGGCUUUUCAAAAGUCUUUCCAACCCUUCAGCCCCCCUUUUUCUCUAAGGGGGAAGAAAAGAGUUUUGUGUUUAAGAGGUCAAGUGACUUAAAGGAACGCUUCCAGCCUUCUGAAAAGUUUCCGUUUCAAACACAUGAAAAAUAAUUCUGAAAGAACAACCCCAACUCUGCUUAGCUUCCAGGUAAACUAUUCAUCCUUUUAUAUAUCUGUUGAAGAAGAUGAUAACAGGACCCUGCUCCUAUGGUUGUUAUAAAGAUGCAUAUACUAAUUCAUAUACAGUGCUUGGAACAAUACCUGGCACACAGUGGAAAACUAUGCUGUGGUUGGAUAUAACAAAGACUACCAGUCCAUGCCCAAGAGCUCCUGUUAGCCAGUCACAUUUUUUUUCCUGCAAGGAAGACUGGUUUAAGAGAGAUUCACCUCUCCCUUCCCACCCAGGACUGAACAGAGAGACAGGAAGGAAGGAAAAAGAGAUGUAACUAUGAAGAGGCAUAUGCUGUUGAGAGUCUCAAACUGUGACCUACCUUUGCCUCAUUCAGGCAAAUCUUUGAAACUUGGUUUCCUCAUGGUAAAUUGGAGAUAAUCCUGCCUACAUGAUUAAAUGAAUAACAUAUGAAAUAUGUGUUUCACAAGACCUCUAAAACAGGUUGAUUUUCUAUGUCUUAAAAGUAAGCCGAUAAGUAUAUGCAGUUGCUGGUAAGAGCAUUCUAGGCAGUGAGAAAUGGGUCAACAAAAUUAUAGAGGGAAAACAAGGUGUGCUCAGUGACCCCCAAAGUGGAACUAAAAUUUCGUGAAAGAAAAUAUUAAGAAAGAAGCAUAGAAUGGUAGGUAGAGCCAGGUCUCAGAAGGCUGUCGAUAUCAGGCUGUAGAGCUGAGCUUUAUGCUUGUUCUGUAAAGUAGGAUUAAGUAACAAAACCUCUGAUGUCACAGUAGGAAGUUUGCAGGGUCUCCACGAGUUCACUUUUUGCAAACACUCUUGUACAAAUUAGAAAAAAUUCACACCUUCCACACUUCUUCCAUUAGGCAGAA